UAGUUGGAUCUUGGCUCGCGACGGUCGGAUCGUCAUCCUGGCGAAUCCCAGACCGAUCCGAGCAGAAAUCGCUGGUACGUCCGUCGGUGCUCUUCAUCGAGUGUCGGCGGAUGGCCGGUACGUUUACUUUGAAAAAAUUAGAGUGCUCAAAGCAGGCGAUGGUGCCGGAAUAAUAGUGCAUGGAAUAAUGGAAUAGGAUCUCGGUUCUAUUUUGUUGGUUCUCGGAACUCGAGAUAAUGAUUAAUAGGAACAGACGGGGGCAUUCGUAUUGCGACGUUAGAGGUGAAAUUCUUGGAUCGUCGCAAGACGGACUACUGCGAAAGCAUUUGCCAAGAAUGUUUUCAUUAAUCAAGAACGAAAGUUAGAGGUUCGAAGGCGAUCAAAUACCGCCCUAGUUCUAA
rnacentral:rRNA from 1 species